rnacentral:rRNA from 1 species
CUACGGGGGGCACCAGGCGAGGAAACUUUGCAAUGUGCGAAAGCACGACAAGGUUAAUCCGAGUGGUUUGUGCUAAACGAACCUUUUGACAGUCCUAGAAACACUGUUGAAUAAGGGGUGGGCAAGUUCUGGUGUCAGCCGCCGCGGUAAAACCAGCACCGCAAGUGGUCAGGAUGAUUAUUGGGCCUAAAGCAUCCGUAGCCGGCUCUGUAAGUUUUCGGUUAAAUCUGUACGCUCAACGUACAGGCUGCCGGGAAUACUGCAGAGCUAGGGAGUGGGAGAGGUAGACGGUACUCGGUAGGAAGGGGUAAAAUCCUUUGAUCUAUUGAUGACCACCUGUGGCGAAGGCGGUCUACCAGAACACGUCCGACGGUGAGGGAUGAAAGCUGGGGGAGCAAACCGGAUUAGAUACCCUUGUAGUC